UGCAGAAUCCCGUGAACCAUCGAGUCUUUGAACGCAAGUUGCGCCCUACGCCGUCAGGCCGAGGGCACGCCUGCCUGGGCGUCA
rnacentral:rRNA from 1 species